UUCCUGGUUUCUCCUUUCAUUUUUCUCUUUUUCCUUCAUCUCCCUUUUUCCUCUUUCCUCUCUCGAGUGAUAAUGGUUAAUUUCUUCUAUUUUUCUGCCUUUUUAUCAACAGGAAGUUGUCAACUUAAGCAAUUAGAAGUGACAAGCGUGGAACGCAGUGGAGCAAAGCAAGGCGUGGUUCUUCCUAUUUCUGGAUCAAGUUUACCCGAUUUGAACACUUCAGCUCAAGUAUCUUUAUUCUUUCAGCAGCCUUUUACAGAUCUACAGCAACUGCAAUUAAGGGUGCAAAUUUUUGUUUAUGGGUCCUUGAUACAAGGAGUAGCACCUGAUGAAGCUUGUAUGGUUUCGACAUUUGGGAUGUGUGGAGGGAGGAGCUUUUGGGAGCCUGCUUGGCGGGCAUAUUUGGAAAGGCUUCAUGGUCCAAAAUUGCAUCCAGGCAGCUCUGAGACCCCUGUACAAUCACGUUCAGGUCCUAAAACUUCAGAGCAGGGAAAUAAAUAGGGUUUGAGCCAAAGCAAGGUUCUUUCAACGCCUGCUGCUAGAGUGAGAAGCAAGAGUUGCCCUUCUCCUGUUGUUAAUCCAAUGAUACCUCUUUCAUCACCUCUAUGGAACAUGCCUACUCUCUCUUGUGAUGCUCUAGCAUGUUAGAGGUCCUGUUCUUGAUUAUCAGACACUUUCUCCUCCGCAUGCUUAUCAGACACCGCCUUUGCGUGACUUUGGUGGAAAUGCAACUUCUUGGGCAUCGCAGCCCCUUUUCCCUGCUUCAUGGGUUUCCUUUGCUCAAAGUUCUGCUGUAGAUGCUUCUGCACUAGAGGACAUGUUGGAUACGCCACUGUACUAGACCAUUGCUCAAUGAAUAAUGGUGUGCUGCCUAUGAUGUUAACAAGAUUGUCAUACUGACACUUUGUUCUAGAAAAAGAUAUGUACAGGAGGCUAUUAAUUUCUAACAUACUCUAAGAUUUGAGUGAUCGAGAAUGCAAAUAUUGGAACCUUGGAAGCUGAUUUAGUUC